rnacentral:rRNA from 1 species
UGAGUUUAGCAGAACAUUCUGGAAAGUAUAGCCAUAGAGGGUGAUAGUCCCGUAUGCGAAAAACAAAGCUUAGCUAGCAGUAUCCUGAGUAGGGCGGGACACGAGAAAUCCUGUCUGAAUCCGGGUCGACCACGAUCCAACCCUAAAUACUAAUACCAGAUCGAUAGUGCACAAGUACCGUGAGGGAAAGGUGAAAAGAACUGAGGUGAUCAGAGUGAAAUAGAACCUGAAACCAUUUGCUUACAAUCAUUCAGAGCACUAUGUAGCAAUACAGUGUGAUGGACUGCCUUUUGCAUAAUGAGCCUGCGAGUUGUGGUGUCUGGCAAGGUUAAGCAAACGCGAAGCCGUAGCGAAAGCGAGUCUGAAUAGGGCGCUUAGUCAGAUGCUGCAGACCCGAAACGAAGUGAUCUAUCCAUGAGCAAGUUGAAGCUAGUGUAAGAACUAGUGGAGGACUGAACCCAUAGGCGUUGAAAAGCCCUGGGAUGACUUGUGGAUAGGGGUGAAAGGCCAAUCAAACUUCGUGAUAGCUGGUUCUCUCCGAAAUAUAUUUAGGUAUAGCGUUGUGUCGUAAUAUAAGGGGGUAGAGCACUGAAUGGGCUAGGGCAUACACCAAUGUACCAAACCCUAUCAAACUCCGAAUACCUUAUAUGUAAUCACAGCAGUCAGGCGGCGAGUGAUAAAAUCCGUCGUCAAGAGGGAAACAACCCAGACUACCAGCUAAGGUCCCUAAAUCUUACUUAAGUGGAAAACGAUGUGAAGUUACUUAAACAACCAGGAGGUUGGCUUAGAAGCAGCCAUCCUUUAAAGAAAGCGUAAUAGCUCACUGGUCUAGUGAUUUUGCGCGGAAAAUAUAACGGGGCUAAAGUAAGUACCGAAGCUGUAGACUUGCACACAACUUAGAUUAUUUAAGUUUAGAAUAUGAGAAACUAAGUUAUAU